rnacentral:rRNA from 1 species
UCUCAUGUCUCAGAUUGAACGCUGGCCGCAGGCCUAACACAUGCAAGUCGAGCGGUAGCACAGGGAGCUUGCUCUUGGGUGACGAGCGGCGGACGGGUGAGUAAUGUCUGGGAAACUGCCUGAUGGAGGGGGAUAACUACUGGAAACGGUAGCUAAUACCGCAUAACGUCGCAAGACCAAAGAGGGGGACCUUCGGGCCUCUUGCCAUCAGAUGUGCCCAGAUGGGAUUAGCUAGUAGGUGGGGUAACGGCUCACCUAGGCGACGAUCCCUAGCUGGUCUGAGAGGAUGACCAGCCACACUGGAACUGAGACACGGUCCAGACUCCUACGGGAGGCAGCAGUGGGGAAUAUUGCACAAUGGGCGCAAGCCUGAUGCAGCCAUGCCGCGUGUAUGAAGAAGGCCUUCGGGUUGUAAAGUACUUUCAGCGGGGAGGAAGGCGAUAAGGUUAAUAACCUUGUCGAUUGACGUUACCCGCAGAAGAAGCACCGGCUAACUCCGUGCCAGCAGCCGCGGUAAUACGGAGGGUGCAAGCGUUAAUCGGAAUUACUGGGCGUAAAGCGCACGCAGGCGGUCUGUCAAGUCGGAUGUGAAAUCCCCGGGCUCAACCUGGGAACUGCAUUCGAAACUGGCAGGCUAGAGUCUUGUAGAGGGGGGUAGAAUUCCAGGUGUAGCGGUGAAAUGCGUAGAGAUCUGGAGGAAUACCGGUGGCGAAGGCGGCCCCCUGGACAAAGACUGACGCUCAGGUGCGAAAGCGUGGGGAGCAAACAGGAUUAGAUACCCUGGUAGUCCACGCCGUAAACGAUGUCGACUUGGAGGUUGUGCCCUUGAGGCGUGGCUUCCGGAGCUAACGCGUUAAGUCGACCGCCUGGGGAGUACGGCCGCAAGGUUAAAACUCAAAUGAAUUGACGGGGGCCCGCACAAGCGGUGGAGCAUGUGGUUUAAUUCGAUGCAACGCGAAGAACCUUACCUACUCUUGACAUCCAGAGAACUUUCCAGAGAUGGAUUGGUGCCUUCGGGAACUCUGAGACAGGUGCUGCAUGGCUGUCGUCAGCUCGUGUUGUGAAAUGUUGGGUUAAGUCCCGCAACGAGCGCAACCCUUAUCCUUUGUUGCCAGCGGUCAGGCCGGGAACUCAAAGGAGACUGCCAGUGAUAAACUGGAGGAAGGUGGGGAUGACGUCAAGUCAUCAUGGCCCUUACGAGUAGGGCUACACACGUGCUACAAUGGCGCAUACAAAGAGAAGCGACCUCGCGAGAGCAAGCGGACCUCAUAAAGUGCGUCGUAGUCCGGAUUGGAGUCUGCAACUCGACUCCAUGAAGUCGGAAUCGCUAGUAAUCGUAGAUCAGAAUGCUACGGUGAAUACGUUCCCGGGCCUUGUACACACCGCCCGUCACACCAUGGGAGUGGGUUGCAAAAGAAGUAGGUAGCUUAACCUUCGGGAGGGCGCU